rnacentral:rRNA from 1 species
GACGAACGCUGGCGGCGUGCUUAACACAUGCCAGUCGAACGGGCCUUGUCCCCUUUUUUUUUGGGGGUGGGGUUAGUGGCGAACGGGUGAGUAACACGUGAGUAACCUGCCCCUCACUUCUGGAUAACCGCUUGAAAGGGUGGCUAAUACGGGGUGUUCUGGCCUGCUCGCAUGGGUGGGUUUGGAAAGAUUCGACCGGUUUGGUUGUUUUGGUGGGGGAUGGGCUCGCGGCCUAUCAGCUUGUUGGUGGGGGGAUGGCCUGCCAAGGCUUUGACGGGUAGCCGGCCUGGGAGGGUGGGCGGUCACACUGGGACUGAGACACGGCCCAGACUCCUACGGGAGGCAGCAGUGGGGAAUAUUGCACAAUGGGCGCAAGCCUGAUGCAGCGACGCCGCGUGAGGGAUGGAGGCCUUCGGGUUGUGAACCUCUUUCGCCAGUGAAGAAGGUCCUGCUCUUUGUGGUGGGGUUGACGGUAGCUGGGUUAAUGAAGCGCCGGCUAACUACGUG